rnacentral:lncRNA from 1 species
AACAAGUGAGGACUUUGUGGGUCACUUUUAUUUUUAACGAACCGGUGCCAGAAACACUGCCUCAGCAUUUAUACGUAUGUGCAUUUCAAACGAGGGUGCGUACAAUGCUGGAUUUGUUUCACGGCUCCUGUUGGAAAAAGGGAUCUAUUCCUAAAGUCCGUCAUCCACUCACUGCAGAGGGCAAAUCCCAGUUGCCCACAUGCAAGGAGGCUGUCAAACAGAGAAAUCACUGCAGACUGUUGGUACACGGACAUCUGCUGCCCAGCUCAGGAGUAAAGGUAUGUAAGUUUGUAUGUACCAACAGUAAGAUAGGUAAUAGAAGAUUUUAAUUAGAGGACUGCUUCCGCUCAGUCUUCCAAAUAGUGAUGAGAACAAGGAUCACCACAUCUCCCUGUUUACCCUACUUUCAUGCAUUUCGUCUGCAGGGCCCUGCAAAAGCUUCUGACCUCAAACCCCCAGACCUCUUAAUUAACUCAGUAACCUAUACAUUGCACAUUGGAGUGUGAAGGUAACAGUUUGUUCUAGCUUUGGAGUAGUGGUGUAUUUUUUUGGUUUACAAUAAAGUUGGCUUUAACUAUUAUGUAUUUCA